AUUGAACGCUGGCGGCAGGCCUAACACAUGCAAGUCGAACGGAGUGGCGGACGGGUGAGUAAUGCCUAGGAAUCUGCCUGGUAGUGGGGGAUAACGUCCGGAAACGGGCGCUAAUACCGCAUACUAUCAGAUGAGCCUAGGUCGGAUUAGCUAGUUGGUGGGGUAAAGGCCUACCAAGGCGACGAUCCGUAACUGGUCUGAGAGGAUGAUCAGUCACACUGGAACUGAGACACGGUCCAGACUCCUACGGGAGGCAGCAGUGGGGAAUAUUGGACAAUGGGCGAAAGCCUGAUCCAGCCAUGCCGCGUGUGUGAAGAAGGUCUUCGGAUUGUAAAGCACUUUAAGUUGGGAGGCGUUACCAACAGAAUAAGCACCGGCUAACUUCGUGCCAGCAGCCGCGGUAAUUC
rnacentral:rRNA from 1 species